GGCAACGGCGGUGGCGCCCGGAGCCCGAGAGUUUCCAGGAUGGCUUCUGCAUCAACUUCUAAAUAUAAUUCACACUCCUUGGAGAAUGAGUCUAUUAAGAGGACGUCUCGAGAUGGAGUCAAUCGGGAUCUCACUGAGGCUGUUCCUCGACUUCCGGGAGAAACACUAAUCACUGACAAAGAAGUUAUUUACAUAUGUCCUUUCAAUGGCCCCAUUAAGGGAAGAGUUUACAUCACAAAUUAUCGUCUUUAUUUAAGAAAGAUAUGUUUGAGAUCCUCACGAGAUACGCGUUUCCCCUGGCUCACAGUCUGCCAUUAUUUGCAUUUUUAAAUGAAGAAAAGUUUAACGUGGAUGGAUGGACAGUUUACAAUCCAGUGGAAGAAUACAGGAGGCAGGGCUUGCCCAAUCACCAUUGGAGAAUAACUUUUAUUAAUAAGUGCUAUGAGCUCUGUGACACUUACCCUGCUCUUUUGGUGGUUCCGUAUCGUGCCUCAGAUGAUGACCUCCGGAGAGUUGCAACUUUUAGGUCCCGAAAUCGAAUUCCAGUGCUGUCAUGGAUUCAUCCAGAAAAUAAGACGGUCAUUGUGCGUUGCAGUCAGCCUCUUGUCGGUAUGAGUGGGAAACGAAAUAAAGAUGAUGAGAAAUAUCUCGAUGUUAUCAGGGAGACUAAUAAACAAAUUUCUAAACUCACCAUUUAUGAUGCAAGACCCAGCGUAAAUGCAGUGGCCAACAAGGCAACAGGAGGAGGAUAUGAAAGUGAUGAUGCAUAUCAUAACGCCGAACUUUUCUUCUUAGACAUUCAUAAUAUUCAUGUUAUGCGGGAAUCUUUAAAAAAAGUGAAGGACAUUGUUUAUCCUAAUGUAGAAGAAUCUCAUUGGUUGUCCAGUUUGGAGUCUACUCAUUGGUUAGAACAUAUCAAGCUCGUUUUGACAGGAGCCAUUCAAGUAGCAGACAAAGUUUCUUCAGGGAAGAGUUCAGUGCUUGUGCAUUGCAGUGACGGAUGGGACAGGACUGCUCAGCUGACAUCCUUGGCCAUGCUGAUGUUGGAUAGCUUCUAUAGGAGCAUUGAAGGGUUCGAAAUACUGGUACAAAAAGAAUGGAUAAGUUUUGGACAUAAAUUUGCAUCUCGAAUAGGUCAUGGUGAUAAAAACCACACCGAUGCUGACCGUUCUCCUAUUUUUCUCCAGUUUAUUGAUUGUGUGUGGCAAAUGUCAAAACAGUUCCCUACAGCUUUUGAAUUCAAUGAACAAUUUUUGAUUAUAAUUUUGGAUCAUCUGUAUAGUUGCCGAUUUGGUACUUUCUUAUUCAACUGUGAAUCUGCUCGAGAAAGACAGAAGGUUACAGAAAGGACUGUUUCUUUAUGGUCACUGAUAAACAGUAAUAAAGAAAAAUUCAAAAACCCCUUCUAUACUAAAGAAAUCAAUCGAGUUUUAUAUCCAGUUGCCAGUAUGCGUCACUUGGAACUCUGGGUGAAUUACUACAUUAGAUGGAACCCCAGGAUCAAGCAACAACCGAAUCCAGUGGAGCAGCGUUACAUGGAGCUCUUAGCCUUACGCGACGAAUACAUAAAGCGGCUUGAGGAACUGCAGCUCGCCAACUCUGCCAAGCUUUCUGAUCCCCCAACUUCACCUUCCAGUCCUUCGCAAAUGAUGCCCCAUGUGCAAACUCACUUCUGAGGGGGACCCUGGCACCGCAUUAGAGCUUGAAAUAAAGGCGAUAGCUGACUUUCAUUUGGGGCAUUUGUAAAAAGUAGAUUAAAAUAUUUGCCUCCAUGUAGAACUUGAACUAACAUAAUCUUAAACUCUUGAAUACGUGCCUUCUAGAAUACAUAUUACAAGAAAACUACAGGGUCCACACGGCAAUCAGAAGAAAGGAGCUGAGAUGAGGUUUUGGAAAACCCUGACACCUUUAAAAAGCAGUUUUUGAAAGACAAAAUUUAGAUUUAAUUUACGUCUUGAGAAAUACUAUAUAUACAAUAUAUAUUUUGUGGGCUUAAUUGAAACAACAUUAUUUUAAAAUCAAAGGGGAUAUAUGUUCGUGGAAUGGAUUUUCCUGAAGCUGCUUAACAGUUGCUUUGGAUUCUCUAAGAUGAAUCCAAAUGUGAAAGAUGCAUGAUACUGCCAAAACCAAAUUGAGCUCAGCUUCCUAGGCAUUACCCAAAAGCAAGGUGUUUAAGUAAUUGCCAGCUUUUAUACCAUCAUGAGUGGUGACUUAAGGAGAAAUAGCUGUAUAGAUGAGUUUUUCAUUAUUUGGAAAUUUAGGGGUAGAAAAUGUUUUCCCCUAAUUUUCCAGAGAAGCCUAUUUUUAUAUUUUUAAAAAACUGACAGGGCCCAGUUAAAUAUGAUUUGCGUUUUUUAAAUUUGCCAGUUUUAUUUUCUAAAUUCUUUCAUGAGCUUGCCUAAAAUUCGGAAUGGUUUUCGGGUUGUGGCAAACCCCAAAGAGAGCACUGUCCAAGGAUGUCGGGAGCAUCCUGCUGCUUAGGGGAAUGUUUUCGCAAAUGUUGCUCUAGUCAGUCCAGCUCAUCUGCCAAAAUGUAGGGCUACCGUCUUGGAUGCAUGAGCUAUUGCUAGAGCAUCAUCCUUAGAAAUCAAUGCCCCAGAUGUACAUGCGUUGAGCGUAUUCUUGAAAGUAUUGUGUUUAUGCGUUUCAAUUUCAAUGGUGUUGGCUUCCCCUCCCCACCCCACGCGUGCAUAAAAACUGGUUCUACAAAUUUUUACUUGAAGUACCAGGCCGUUUGCUUUUUCAGGUUGUUUUGUUUUAUAGUAUUAAGUGAAAUUUUAAAUGCACAGUUCUAUUUGCUAUCUGAACUAAUUCAUUUAUUAAGUAUAUUUGUAAAAGCUAAGGCUCGAGUUAAAACAAUGAAGUGUUUUACAAUGAUUUGUAAAGGACUAUUUAUAACUAAUAUGGUUUUGUUUUCAAUGAAUUAAGAUUAAAUAUAUCUUUGUAAAUU
rnacentral:sRNA from 1 species